UACGGCUACAUCACGUCGAAACAUCGGUUCUCGUACGAUCACAGGUGUUAAGCAACGUCGAGCCUAGUCUGUACCGAGAUGGGUGACCGCGUGGUAAUACCAGAUGCUGUAC